UGGAUUUAACUUGGAGCCAGGGUCUCCAAAGAAAACAGAAGAGGACAUGGGAUUCCCUGGAACUGAUGGACAAAUGAUGUGAGCGGUCCUGUGGGCAAUGGAAAUUGAGCUCAGUCCUCUGCAGAGCUGCCAGCGCUAUCACCGAGCCAUCCAUCCCUCCAGCUCCUCCUUCCUGUGCUUCAUUUCCCAAAUGCCAUUUCCUGCUGUCUUUAGGGUCUCAUUUUUAAUGGUUUGGUUUGUUUCUAUUUUAAGGCACUGGAGACUGAACCCAUGCAUAGUUAAAUAAAC
rnacentral:lncRNA from 1 species